rnacentral:lncRNA from 11 species
CUUAAACUGGAGAAGAAUUAAUCUUUCAGAAGACACCAGUGAGAGUCGUUUUCUACAGAAUGCUCUUGGAUUUUUCGCUAUAUCACCUCUUGGGAAGUUGGAGGAUUCUUGGAAAAGGAUGGUUCCAGAGGGCUGCAAAUCAAAAAGAAAGCUGAUAGAAAGCCUCCCUCAACCUAAAAUGAAUGGAGGACCAUCUUGGGAUAGCUG